rnacentral:rRNA from 1 species
UGGCGCACGGGUGAGUAACACGUGGGUAAUCUACCUCUUAGUGGGGGAUAUCUCUGGGAAACUAGAGUUAAUACCGCAUAAGUUCGAGAGAAGAAAGCAGCAAUGCGCUGAGAGAGGAGCCCGCGGCCGAUUAGCUAGUUGGUAAGGUAAAGGCUUACCAAGGCUGAGAUCGGUAGCCGGCCUGAGAGGGCACACGGCCACACUGGCACUGAAACACGGGCCAG